rnacentral:rRNA from 1 species
GACGAACGCUGGCGGCGUGCCUAACACAUGCAAGUCGAGCGGAGUCAGUAAGAGGAAAUUUUCGGAUGGAAUCUUAUUGAUUUAGCGGCGGACGGGUGAGUAACGCGUGAGCGACCAACCUUGCACAGGGGGAUAACGGACCGAAAGGUUCACUAAUACCGCAUGAGACCACGGUGUUGCAUGACACAGGGGUCAAAGGAGCAAUCCGGUGCAAGACGGGCUCGCGUCCGAUUAGGUAGUUGGAGGGGUAACGGCCCACCAAGCCUAUGAUCGGUAGCCGACCUGAGAGGGUGAUCGGCCACAUUGGAACUGAGAUACGGUCCAAACUCCUACGGGAGGCAGCAGUGGGGAAUAUUGGGCAAUGGGGGAAACCCUGACCCAGCAACGCCGCGUGAAGGAAGAAGGUUUUCGGAUUGUAAACUUCUGUCCUUGGUGAAGAGAAGAAGACGGUAGCCAAGGAGGAAGCCCCGGCUAACUACGUG